GUGUGUGUCUGCUGUGCGUGCUCAAGGAAACCAAACUGAAAGCGACAAACAAAUGUCAAAUCCCAGGAUACCAUUUGAAGUAGAACCUCUUCCAUGGGAGUGUGCACUGCAGCACGCGUAGACCCCAUAUACCUCUUUUCGCCAUCUCUUCUGCCACCAG